CCUACGGGUGGCAGCAGUGAGGAAUAUUGGUCAAUGGACGAGAGUCUGAACCAGCCAAGUAGCGUGAAGGAUGACUGCCCUAUGGGUUGUAAACUUCUUUUAUAUGGGAAUAAAAUGUUCCACGUGUGGGAUUUUGUAUGUACCAUAUGAAUAAGGAUCGGCUAACUCCGUGCCAGCAGCCGCGGUAAUACGGAGGAUCCGAGCGUUAUCCGGAUUUAUUGGGUUUAAAGGGAGCGUAGGUGGAUUGUUAAGUCAGUUGUGAAAGUUUGCGGCUCAACCGUAAAAUUGCAGUUGAAACUGGCAGUCUUGAGUACACUAGAGGUGGGCGGAAUUCGUGGUGUAGCGGUGAAAUGCUUAGAUAUCACGAAGAACUCCGAUUGCGAAGGCAGUUCACUGGACUGCAACUGACACUGAGGCUCGAAAGUGUGGGUAUCAAACAGGAUUAGAUACCCUUGUAGUC
rnacentral:rRNA from 1 species